GUUUGAGUCAUUCGGAGAUGGUGGUGCACCCAAGGAAGUUGCAAUGUCGUCCUCAGCAGAUUUUGAAAAAGACAUUACUCGGACUGGAUGACAAGAUAUGUUUUUCUUCACUGGUGUCACUUCAGAAACAUGUUUCACCGAAAGCCGUCAUGAGCCUUGAGCUAUGGUAGACCAAAAUUGCUCCGUGCCCAGUGAAAUGAACCAUUUUGCAUUUUUGCAAGGGGAACAGGUGGUCCACGUCAAGAAUUUCCACGAUUCAAAACAUCCCUCAGUGGUUCUCGAAAAGAGAUGAAGGCAAAAAUGCUCUGCCCAGCUGACUUGCACGGAUGUGUCCAAAAUUUUGGUGAAACUCAAAUGACGGACAGGUCCAGGGGCUGAGAAAAGAGAGUCAGAACGUGUGAAAAUAGAGCCGAUACACUUUUAAGUUGAAUAGCAGAAAUUGUAAAAAAAUAAUAAUAAUAAAUAAUAAUAAUAAAAAUCAUUCAACACAAAGAUAACACUGGCG